rnacentral:tRNA from 1 species
CUCCCUGUAGCUCAGUGGAUUAGAGCGUUUGAUUCCGGUUCAAAAGGUCGUAGGUUCGAAUCCUAUCAGGGAGG